UACGUAGGGUGCAAGCGUUGUCCGGAAUUAUUGGGCGUAAAGAGCUCGUAGGCGGUCUGUCGCGUCUGCUGUGAAAACUCGGGGCUUAACCCCGGGCCUGCAGUGGGUACGGGCAGACUAGAGUGCGGUAGGGGAGACUGGAAUUCCUGGUGUAGCGGUGAAAUGCGCAGAUAUCAGGAGGAACACCAGUGGCGAAGGCGGGUCCCUGGACAACACCUGACACUGAGGCACGAAAGCUAGGGGAGCAAACAGG
rnacentral:rRNA from 1 species